rnacentral:rRNA from 1 species
UGGCGGCAGGCCUGAACACAUGCAAGUCGAGCGGAAACGAGUUCACUGAACCUUCGGGGAACGUGAACGGCGUCGAGCGGCGGACGGGUGAGUAAUGCCUGGGAAAUUGCCCUGAUGUGGGGGAUAACCAUUGGAAACGAUGGCUAAUAGCCGCAUAAUAGCUUCGGCUCAAAGAGGGGGACCUUCGGGCCUCUCGCGUCAGGAUAUGCCCAGGUGGGAUUAGCUAGUUGGUGAGGUAAAGGCUCACCAAGGCGACGAUCCCUAGCUGGUCUGAGAGGAUGAUCAGCCACACUGGAACUGAGACACGGUCCAGACUCCUACGGGAGGCAGCAGUGGGGAAUAUUGCACAAUGGGCGCAAGCCUGAUGCAGCCAUGCCGCGUGUAUGAAGAAGGCCUUCGGGUUGUAAAGUACUUUCAGCAGUGAGGAAGGUUCAUGCGUUAAUAGCGUAUGGAUUUGACGUUAGCUGCAGAAGAAGCACCGGCUAACUCCGUG